UGGGGAAUAUUGCACAAUGGGGGAAACCCUGAUGCAGCGACGCCGCGUGAAGGAAGAAGUAUUUCGGUAUGUAAACUUCUAUCAGCAGGGAAGAAAAUGACGGUACCUGACUAAGAAGCCCCGGCUAACUACGUGCCAGCAGCCGCGGUAAUACGUAGGGGGCAAGCGUUAUCCGGAUUUACUGGGUGUAAAGGGAGCGUAGACGGAAGAGCAAGUCUGAUGUGAAAGGCUGGGGCUUAACCCCAGGACUGCAUUGGAAACUGUUUUUCUUGAGUGCCGGAGAGGUAAGCGGAAUUCCUAGUGUAGCGGUGAAAUGCGUAGAUAUUAGGAGGAACACCAGUGGCGAAGGCGGCUUACUGGACGGUAACUGACGUUGAGGCUCGAAAGCGUGGGGAGCAAACAGG
rnacentral:rRNA from 1 species